GGGGUUAUGGAUCAGUGGUAGAGCACCUGCUUCACAUGCAGGCAGUCUCAGGUUCAGUCCCCAGUACCUCCA
rnacentral:tRNA from 1 species